rnacentral:rRNA from 1 species
CAGCAGCCGCGGGAAUACGUAGGUGGCGAGCGUUGUCCGGAAUUAUUGGGCGUAAAGGGAGCGCAGGCGGACAUAUAAGUCCAUCUUAAAAGUGCGGGGCUCAACCCCGUGAGGGGAUGGAAACUGUAUGCCUUGAGUGCAGGAGAGGAAAGCGGAAUUCCCAGUGUAGCGGUGAAAUGCGUAGAUAUUGGGAGGAACACCAGUGGCGAAGGCGGCUUUCUGGACUGCAACUGACGCUGAGGCUCGAAAGCCAGGGGAGCGAACGGGAUUAGAUACCCCCGUAGUCCCUGUCUCUUAUACC